rnacentral:rRNA from 1 species
CGGUUUUAGUGGCGGACGGGUGAGUAACGCGUGGGUAACCUGCCUCACACUGGGGGAUAACACUUAGAAAUAGGUGCUAAUACCGCAUAAGCGCACGGGACUGCAUGGUCUUGUGUGAAAAACUCCGGUGGUGUGAGAUGGACCCGCGUCUGAUUAGCUGGUUGGCGGGGUAACGGCCCACCAAGGCGACGAUCAGUAGCCGGCCUGAGAGGGUGAACGGCCACAUUGGGACUGAGACACGGCCCAAACUCCUACGGAAGGCAGCAG